ACCUAUGGCAUAUGGAGAUUCCCAGGCAAGAGGUUGAAUCGGAGCUACAGCUGCCGGCCUACACCACAGCUACAGCCGGCCUACACCACAGCUACAGCCAAGCUGCAUCUGCAACCUACACCACAGCUCACGGCAACGCUGGAUCUCUGACCCACUGAGCGAGGACGGGGAUUGAACCCACAACCUCAUGGAUACUAGUUGGAUUUGUUUCCACUGUGCCAUGACGGGAACUCCCCAGACAGAAACUUUUAAACUUUAGGUCAGGUCAUGUCUACACCACUUGUCUAUACCAGUGGUUCUCAAACUUGAGUGUGCACCUGAAUCUGCAGGGCAGAGCCUGGGCCCCGCCUAAGUUCCUGAUUCGGCAGGUGAGGACGGCUGCUGACAAGUUAAGGAGCGCUGCUGCCCCCCUGCUAGACUGUUGCCAAGAGACCACGGUGGGAGAAGGCUGGCCUCCCCCCCCGCCCCCGUGCCCUGGGUCAGCCUUCAAAUCCAAAUCAGAACCACUCAGCAAUGAUACAACAGGGCAGGGCAUUAACCCACUGACUUGGGAACCAGACUGUCUGGACUUAGUCCCAGCUUUGCCACUUCCUGUGUGUCCUUGAGCAAAUGGCUUAACUUCUCUGUGCUUCAGUUGGCUUUUCUUCAGGAAACAGAAGCAAUGAUAGCAUCUCCUUUCCAGGGUGGUUGUGAGGCUUGAACGAGCUCACACUGUGUCUGGGUUGGGUUCUCUAGAGGGCAGAAUGGAGACAAGGACGGGAAGCCCUGGGGGUUGGGGAGGCAGAAGGAAAGGAGUUCCAGAGGCAGAGGGGGUAGGAUAGGGGCAUGGACGCGGGGGCAGGGGGGUUCCCCGCUGUGGGCAGGAGGCUCUGGGAGCCAGUGCAGAACACACCACCGGUAACCUUUGGCUCAAGAUUAUUCCAGACGGAUGGUGCUGGAGAGGAGGUCUUUAUCCAACCAGCUGGGCAGCUGUGGGUGGAGGCCCCCCCCAGCCCCCGCCCCAUGGGGGUGUAGGGAGUGUGAGCAGCCUGCCUGCCAAAGAGCAUCUCCAGCCCGCGGGGUCAUGGUUGCCCCUGGGAAAGUGUCCAGGGAAUAGGAGUUGAUACUGAAAAUAUCAGCCAGACAGGCAAAGCCCUGGGGAGAAGCUCGUGUAGAUCUUAACGCCCCCUGGACCUGAGACCCUCCCCAAAUCGCCUUCAAGGCAGGUCCUCCCAAGCCAGCACCACCCCCCCGCCCUGGGCAUCUUCCUGCUCCCCUGACAUGCACGCCCAGUCCAAGAGCCUCUGCACUGGCCAUGCCCUCCGGGCGGAGCACCGGUCCGGCUUCCAGGGGCCUGUCUCCCCACCGCCCCACAUCUCACCAUCAUCUCCCGCUCGGGGAGCGCGUUCCUGCCUCCCAUGUAAAGCCACCCCCUCGGUCCCUCUCAAUUCCUUCUCCCUUCCUCUCCCAGCCUAGCGGGUCUACUUCGGAAUCUCCAUUUCCCUGUUUACUGGUUAACACCUGGUCUAUUUCACUCCAGGAUUCCGGGAGCCGUCGUUGGCCAUCCUGUCCCCAGACUCCAGCAGGCACAGAGGGGCUGUCACUGAAUGAGUGAGUGAAUGAACAAGUGGAAGUACUUGACUGAGAGUCAGAGAACCAGCAAUGUCAUCUAAGGAGCACGGGUUCCUGCGCAGACAUGGCCAAGGCUUGACUCCCAGCCCAUUCCCCACUCCUGAGUCCUUCCUCUAACCUCAGUGCUUCUUUUCUCUCAUGGGGCCACUCACACCCCUCUCACCUUGGGGGCUGGGGCAUUGACCUUGACAGUGUGGGUAGGAGCUCCUCCUAAUGGAAGGGCCCCAUGAAAUCCAAAGAUCUGAGAGCAUCCUGGACAGAAUGAACAAUAUCUGCUUCCUCCUCCAUCCUGGGCACUCCUAAAAGCUGAGAACAUGAGGUAAGGUUCAGUGUGGGCCAUAGAACAGAGAAACCAAGGUAAGAGGAUAAAUACAGCAGAUUAUUUCAUAUUCAUGUGGGAGAAGCUCAGAGAAAGGAAUCUGGGGUGGGUAAAGCACCUUGCAGAAGUCAACAAAGCCCAGAUCCUUUCUGCCUUAUCGACCCUUCAUCCUCUACACAGAGCUUCUACGUCAUAGCCCAAAGUGGCUGCUUGUGCUCCAGCCAUCAUUUCCCUCUUCCAGGGACUGGUUAAAAGAAAGAGCUUGCUUUCUCCCAAUUAGGACACUUCCCAGAAUGCAACACCAAAGACUUCCGCUUAUAACUCAUUAGCCAGCACUUGGUCACACAGCCAUGUGCCCAGAAGUUCUGCCACUCCGUUACUCUUGGAUUCAUCUAGCAUGUGCCAGGCACUGAUGAAAUGGCAGCGAACAAGAUGGAAAAAAGCCCUGCUUACUGACUGAUGGGGCCCACAUUCCAGAGGAGGGGACAGAUGAGAACCAGGUCAACACACACACGAACUGGGGGCUACCGGGCGAAGCCCUAUAAAGAGAACCAUGGUGAUGAGAAAGAGAAGCGGGGUGAGAGGGGGUGAAAACCUACCCUAGCUGAGGGACACAGAGCAGGUCUUUCUGAGGAGUCAUUUGGAUGGAGCCUGUGACCAUUCCAAGAAGCAGGAGAUGGCUUGCAUGUCCCUGCUCAGGCAUGUGUCUGCUGUGCACCCCUGGGCAGGCCCCAGCACCUCUCUGAGCCUAUUUUCUCACCUCUGCAACAUGAGCAGUAGCCACUCUCUCUCUGGGUUGUGGGGUGAAAUCUUGCUCACAGAACGAGGGUCUCCAGGAAGAAAUGGAGGCUUACAGAGACUGGGAGCCUGGCUCUAGACCAAAAGCCCGCCCUCUGCCAUCACACAGCCGGAAGGAGCUGAGUUGGAGUCUAAAUGCAGCGUCACUGUAGCCAAAGCCCACCCCAUCCCAGACCCCUUCCGUGAACCAGACAAUGGGGUUCAGAUGUCUGCUUUCUUAACAAACACCCACGAUGACUCAGACAUUCACUGAAGUUUAAGGAGAACUAAACUUUGUGCUUAUAAAGUGCCAGGCACGUAAUCACCACCCCCAACACCAAAAUCCAUUACAAGUUUAAAGUACAGCUAUUAUUUUUACAGCAUUGCUUAGAAAUGGCUUGCAAUCUCUAAUUUGCUAAAUUGAUGUGUAUAUUGACUAAAUAAAUAUUCGGCACGAAGCCCGAGUCCCUCUCCACACUUAUUAAUCCUCAGGAAAUGGAAACACAAGACACGAAAUGAGCUUUUGCUCAGAGCUGCAGACAGGAAUACAUUAGGUUGUUUUUCAAGCGUUUGGGGACUCGUCGCGCUGCAGCAGAGGCGGCCCAAUCGCCAGCCUCUAAGUUUUCCAUGACGCACAUGUCUGCCAGCAGACGUGACUGUGUUGCUUGAGGCUCUUUCUCGGACUUUGAAAGUCUAGGACAAGAAAGUUUAUCUCCAUGGGGGACAUCUGGGGUCACUGCCUUUGGGGGAGUUGAUUUGAGGGGUGGGUGGGCAGCCCCGAUAUUCGUAAAUAGAAAUGCGGGGCCCCUGCAGGACCCCCACGUGGGGCUAACUGGUGACAGUUCCUCUUCUUCAAGGACCAGGGCUUUCUGUGCUCUCAGCUCCAGGGGGACCAGCCAGAGCCGCCUGGGGAGGGGGAGCAGGAGCGGGGAGGGGGGAGAGGUGUCCGCCGUCAGCACCCCCCACACCCCGCAGGAUGGAAAGGGGGGCAGGAAGUGCAGUUCCCGAGGACAAAGCUUGCUUUGCGUCCCCCCUGCCCCGGGAGGCUGUGACCUGGGGUGGUGAUGAGUCCUGGGGGCUGGCUUUAUACCGAUGGCCAGGGGGGCCCCCAGACAGGGGACCAGGGGGUGGAGGAGGGCUUUCAGAUACUAACUUCUAAAGGUUCCCUAUCCCAUGGAGCACCCCCUGUGGCACUGGCCAAGAGCAGUGAAGCAGCAGAGCCCAGAGUUAGGAGAGAAGUUCAUCUCAUGAGAACCGGGAGAUGGCAGCUGUUCUCCCGAGAGAAAAGGUGCGAGCUUUCCUUCCGCCCUCCUGGAAGGCAGUGAACCCCGGGAGGGCAGCUUUUCAUUGAGUCCAGCCUCGGCCCAAAGCCAGCCCAGAGCGCUCGGGGUCCCCUGCCUGAGGAAAACCAGGUUCCACAGGCUGGAGAUGGAGGGCGCUGGGCGUUACGGAGACCUCAGUUUCCUGCUCUGACAGAUGAGGUUGUUCCUGAGGGGACCCCCCAAGGGACCUCGCCGCACACCUAGCCCGCCGUGAGCAAGGUGCCUGCCCCAGAUGGCAGAGGCUACCCCUCCCUGGACACCAGUCUGUGGACAGGUGGGAGGCCAGCAGGGGCCCUUCUGCUGCUUCUGUACCCUCAGCCCCCCGCCACAAGUGAGCCUAUGGGACCCCAGGAUGGGGCAGCCACAGGGGGUGCAUAACCCAGGCAACUCCAGGGGCAGCCCCUCUUCUCUGCCAUGCUCCAGGCAGAAGGAGCAGCCAGUGCAAAGGCCCUGGGGUAGGACCUGACCUGGUUAACAGGUGGGACCGUGGCCUGAAAUGCAUGCAGAGAGGUGGAUCCCACAGGCCCUUGCGGCCACGUGGAGGAGGAAUUUGAGUGGCAUCCUGAGGGCAAUGGGCUGCCACGGGAGGGUUUGCUCCAGGGCUUUUUUGAGUCAGGGCUUGAGCAGCCUCAGGAACAAGGCUCAGUCCCCUUCUGGAAGUUGUAUCCUCAAGAUUCAGCUUCUGAACUCAACCCAGACGAGCUUCCUGCCCCAUCAGCUCCUGAGAAGGGGAAAGGCUGUCCUCCUGCAGGACCUCGGAGACUUUGCGGAUUAAAUAAAGGGCCACUGCACAGCCACUAGGGGAGGUGACAUGGAACAGAGGCAGCACCUGGACCUCUAGCCCACUUGGGGGUCUGCUUGGUGGGAUAUCUGCCCCACCCAAGAGAAAACUCCCAGGGAGGCAUUCGAAGCAGCCCUUCCUAAAGAGGCAGAACCAGAAAGAGGCCAGGCGGCCAUGGCGAAGGAACGGCUCAGCCAGCCGCGGUGGUGGCUCCCAGCGGAGAUGCAGCAGCUGUGCGGCGGGAUGGGCAGCUCGCCGUGAGACCCCUGAGGGUGCUGGAGAAAACAGGCAGAACAGGAAAUGGUUCCAUGUCCAUCCCAGACUGUCUGCCAUGGAUGAGGCCACCUGUCUCUAGGGAUAGAAAGAUCGGGGCCCCCUGGGGCUUGGGGAGGUGGGGAUUAGCAGGGAUGCACACAAGGGAACUUUCUGGGCUGAUGAUGGAAUGUUCUGGAUCUUGCUCUAGGUGGUGGAUAUACACAGCCCACUCCCCACCUAAGACCUGUGUGUUUUGCUGCAUGUCAAUUAUGCUUGAAUGAAAAAAUAUCUUUG
rnacentral:lncRNA from 1 species